GGGGACUUAGCUUAAUUAAAGCACCUGAUUUGCAUUCAGAAGAUGUGAAGUUAGUUUGCAGUCCUUA
rfam:Oryctolagus cuniculus unplaced genomic scaffold chrTn0455, whole genome shotgun sequence.